UACGGGGGGGGGCAAGCGUUUGUUCGGAAUUACUGGGCGUAAAGGGCUCGUAGGUGGCCAACUAAGUCAGACGUGAAAUCCCUCAGCUUAACUGGGGAACUGCGUCUGAUACUGGAUGGCUUGAGUUUGGGAGAGGGAUGCGGAAUUCCAGGUGUAGCGGUGAAAUGCGUAGAUAUCUGGAGGAACACCGGUGGCGAAGGCGGCAUCCUGGACCAACACUGACACUGAUGAGCGAAAGCCAGGGGAGCAAACGGG
rnacentral:rRNA from 1 species